UACGUAGGGUGCGAGCGUUGUCCGGAAUUACUGGGCGUAAAGAGCUCGUAGGUGGUUUGUCGCGUUGUUCGUGAAAACUCACAGCUCAACUGUGGGCGUGCGGGCGAUACGGGCAGACUGGAGUACUGCAGGGGAGACUGGAAUUCCUGGUGUAGCGGUGGAAUGCGCAGAUAUCAGGAGGAACACCGGUGGCGAAGGCGGCAUCCUGGACCAUUACUGACACUGAAAAGCGAAAGCCAGGGGAGCAAACGGG
rnacentral:rRNA from 1 species